GACGAACGCUGGCGGCGUGCUUAACACAUGCAAGUCGAACGGAAAGGCCCUGCUUUUGUGGGGUGCUCGAGUGGCGAACGGGUGAGUAACACGUGAGUAACCUGCCCUUGACUUUGGGAUAACUUCAGGAAACUGGGGCUAAUACCGGAUAGGAGCUCCUGCUGCAUGGUGGGGGUUGGAAAGUUUCGGCGGUUGGGGAUGGACUCGCGGCUUAUCAGCUUGUUGGUGGGGUAGUGGCUUACCAAGGCUUUGACGGGUAGCCGGCCUGAGAGGGUGACCGGCCACAUUGGGACUGAGAUCCGGCCCAGACCCCUCCGGGAGGCAGCAGUGGGGAAUAUUGCACAAUGGGCGGAGGCCUGAUGCAGCAACGCCGCGUGCGGGAGGACGGCCUUCGGUUUGUAAACCGCUUUCGCCUGUGACGAGGCGUGAGUGACGGUAAUGGUAAAGAAGCACCGGCUAACUACGUG
rnacentral:rRNA from 1 species